rnacentral:lncRNA from 1 species
UUGUAAAAAUUCGAGUAAACUGAAAUAUUACAGAUAAAGCCCAUGAGGUAUUAAAGUAAACAUCCACAACUCUCGAAAUCCUGCAAGGUAUGAUGAUUUUGAAUCAGUGAUUAGGUCUUAUCCGACCAAUUCUUAGAAACUACUAGUUUUAGCAGUAUUUUGGAGAAUCUAAAGCCUUAGCUUGUGUAUGGUCCAGACAUCACCGAGCACCCAAGUAUAAAUUAGCCUUACAACUCUCUAACAGAAACUUAAUGACUUCAACUUAAAUUGCAUACUGAUUUAGGAUUUGGGCUGACUUAGUAAUUAAAACUUUGUGUGCUUUUGAAAUUAUUGGGACUUAUGCAAUUAGAUUUUAUAAAACAAUAAAAUAAAUUCUUUUGACAGCAGUUUGUGGGUAUCUGAGUCGGAAACCCUCACGAGACAAAACUCGUCCACUAGGGCCACCUAGGGGUUUAAAGCCUUAUUGCAUACGGUAAAUGCAAUCGCGAUUCCUGCGAAAGUGAGUUAGCUUUUAUUUUGCUCGAGGACUAGCAAAAUGUAGGUU